CUACCAUGGCAGUCACGGGUAACGGAGAAUUAGGGUUCGAUUCCGGAGAGGGAGCCUGAGAAACGGCUACCACAUCUACGGAAGGCAGCAGGCGCGCAAAUUGCCCAAUCCCGACACGGGGAGGCAGUGACAAGAAAUAACAACUCUAGGUUUUCUUAGAAGUGUAAUGAGGAUAAUUUACAAACCUUACCAAAUGCAAUUGGAGGGCAAGUCUGGUGCCAGCAGCCGCGGUAAUUCCAGCUCCAAUAGCGUAUAUUAAAGUUGUUGCAGUUAAAAAGCUCGUAGUUGAAAAUCUGAUUGCUCAGGUCUCCAGCCUUUAGGCGGGGAUUCUGACAGUCAUCCGCUUGCAAACAUAUGUUCGAUCUUCACCGGUUGGCUAUGUGAGUAAGCACUUUACCUUGAGAAAAACAGAGUGUUCCAGGCAGGUUUGUCCGGAAUGCAUUAGCAUGGAAUAAUAGAACAUGACUGAAGUCUAUUUAUUGGUUAAAGGCUUUAGUAAUGAUUAAUAGGAACAGUCGGGGGCAUUCGUACUCAGCAGUCAGAGGUGAAAUUCUAAGAUUUGCUGAAGACGAACUAAUGCGAAAGCAUUUGCCAAGGAUGUUUUCAUUAAUCAAGAACGAAGGUUAGGGGAUC
rnacentral:rRNA from 1 species